AUUGAACGCUGGCGGCAGGCCUAACACAUGCAAGUCGAACGGUAACAGGAAGAAGCUUGCUUCUUUGCUGACGAGUGGCGGACGGGUGAGUAAUGUCUGGGAAACUGCCUGAUGGAGGGGGAUAACUACUGGAAACGGUAGCUAAUACCGCAUAACGUCGCAAGACCAAAAAGGGGGACCUUCGGGCCUCUUGCCAUCGGAUGUGCCCAGAUGGGAUUAGCUAGUAGGUGGGGUAACGGCUCACCUAGGCGACGAUCCCUAGCUGGUCUGAGAGGAUGACCAGCCACACUGGAACUGAGACACGGUCCAGACUCCUACGGGAGGCAGCAGUGGGGAAUAUUGCACAAUGGGCGCAAGCCUGAUGCAGCCAUGCCGCGUGUAUGAAGAAGGCCUUCGGGUUGUAAAGUACUUUCAGCGGGGAAGAAGGGAGUAAAGUUAAUACCUUUGCUCAUUGACGUUACCCGCAGAGGAAGCACCGGCUAACUACGUG
rnacentral:rRNA from 1 species